rnacentral:tRNA from 1 species
GGCUCGGUAGCUUAGUUGGUAAAGCGCUCGUCUAGCAAACAACAGCCCUGGGUUCAAAUCGCAGUCGAUCA